CGCCAGGCCCUGUGCUAGCAGACUUCACCCAACUCCGUCAGGACCGGAAGGUAGCAGCGGUUAGUGUUGUUUUGCUGAGCCGCAGUAAGCUUGGCGGCG
rnacentral:SRP_RNA from 1 species